rnacentral:tRNA from 1 species
GCAGACGUAGCUCAACCAGUAGAGCACCGCGCCCGGAGGUAUGUUGCAGGUGCAAAUCCUGCUGUCUGCU